rnacentral:rRNA from 1 species
UACGAAGGGGCUAGCGUUGCUCGGAAUUACUGGGCGUAAAGGGAGCGUAGGCGGACAGUUUAGUCAGUGGUGAAAGCCCAGGCUCAACCUUGGAAUUGCCAUUGAUACUGAUUGUCUUGAGUAUGGGAGAGGUGUGCGGAACUCCGAGUGUAGAGGUGAAAUUCGUAGAUAUUCGGAAGAAACACCAGUGGCGAAGGCGACUUACUGGACACAUAUUGAACGCGUGAGGUGGCGAAAGCGUGGGGAGCAAACAGG